CACAACAACAACAACAACAACAUGAACAACUCCUCUUCCUCCUUCUCCUCCUCCACUCUCCCCUCCGAUCAAGAACAAUCCGUCAUUGUCACCGCCCUAACCAAAGUCGUCUCCGGCUCCACCUCAACCGCAAACUCAUUACCGGAAUUUCAUCUCCCGGAUUCCACCAUCGGAAGCAGCAGCAGCAUGGAGCGAAUUCCACCAACGAACAUGGAAACCUGCCGCGAAUGCAACAUAGCAGGAUGUUUAGGAUGCAAUUUCUUCUCUCAAGAGAACAAGAAAAAACAAAUAAGAGCUAAAAAGAAGUAUAGAGGAGUGAGACAGAGACCAUGGGGAAAAUGGGCUGCUGAGAUUCGUGACCCGAGACGUGCUGUUCGUGUUUGGCUCGGAACCUUUACCACGGCGGAGGAAGCUGCCAGAGCUUAUGACAAUGCCGCCAUCGAGUUUCGUGGGCCGAGGGCAAAGCUCAAUUUUCCACUUGUUGAUGAAUCCCUUAAGCAUGUUGAGGAACCAGAAGUGAUCGUUCAUUCUAAGCAUGUAACAAAGGAUGAGAAUAUGAAUCAAGAAAUGCAAAUUGAAACAAUGACGGGGUUUGAGAAUAAUAAGGAUUGUGAUUUUUUGGAUAGCAUUGGUGAACCUGAUUUUCAACAAUUUAUGAAGUUUAUGGAAUUUUCUGGAGAUUCUUCUGGUUCUAGGACAGGGAAUCCUUUUAAUUAGUUCAUGAAUUCAACAACAAAUGAACAGUGAUUUUUUUUAGCAUGUUUAACUAGUGGUAGACUGAGAUUAAGUGUAUUGAUUAGCUUUGCUGUGCAAUGUGCAUAAUCUCUCUUCUACGAGAUUUUUUUUUAGGGAGGAAGUUGCUUUCUGCAAGUGCAAAUAGUGAUUUCAAUGUUUGAUUUUGAAGAAGAAUCCGCUUUGUAGAAUUGCUGUACUCCCUAAAAGUGUUUUUUUUUUAACGAGAAUUUAAUGUUUUGAGAGAAUUUAAAUCCUUGAAUAAUAAUAAUUUGAAUUUUUUUGAAAAUGAUGUAAAUCCUUGGAGAAGAAUUUGCCUUUGUAGAAAUGUUGUUCUCGUGAACUUAACCCGGUCAGUAUAAACAAUCUUCGGGAUUCAAACUCUAACCAUCACAAAAAAACGUUGUUCUCCCUAGGUGUUGCUUUGUUUCCAUUAUAAAUACUCUUCUUCAUAUUAGAACAACAAAAACCAUAAAACAUCAAAAUUAAUACAAUCAUUAUUAAUUAUUUUAAUUUUUUUAUAUAUUUUACAAACAUAUUUUUGUGAGAAAUUGUGAUUCAUUAAAUACAAUUACUAAUACUAAAAAGAUAAAUAUUAAAUGACUUUAAAUUUAAUACAUUAAAUAUAUAUUCGGUUUCAAUUACUGCAUUUUUUUUUAAUACGGAUAGGAAUGUGAAGUACUCCCUUCGUCCUACAUUUUGGGAGAAAGAGAGAGAAACAAUGGGUGUGAAUGAAAAAAUACUUUAAAGGGAAUUCAUUUAACGACAAUUAAAAAAAAGAGAAGUGGUAUUUUUUGUCCAAAAUUAAGGUGGAUUUAUCUUUAAAAAAAAUAAAUUAAAGUGGGUAUAUGGUCUUGUGAUAUUUUCAUUUCGGCUUGCAUGAAUGAAUGGUUCACAUUUCACAAGCAUGAGUAAAUUAUACGUAAAUUCCCGAACACCAAAACAGAAAUGUCAAAGUCUAAAAGAUACAGUUGUAGAAUGAAAUAGUAGUCAAGUAAACAACAAAUGUGAACGCACCGUCUUUAAGUGAACUCUCCUUUCGCUUUCUUCCCCUGGCUGGAACACCUGAAUCCUCAAUUGUUCUCUAUUGUGGGAACCAACCAACCCCACCAAAUCCUGUCUGGCAUUUUAAAAAAAAAAGAAAAAAUCACGUGAUUAAUUUAAUAAAUCCAACUUACUAUUAUCCAUUCAAAGACCAAUAGUGAACCGUGUGUGGGAACGGUGUACACAGCUGGCUCUUAAGUCUUACCUGCCAUGUCACCCCCUAAACCGUAUAUAAACCAACUCAAAUCUCUGACUUUCCCUUCAACUUCAAAAUCUUCUAAACCUUCAAAAACUCAGUUUCCAUACAUGAACUACGCCUUCUCCACUACCACCCUCACCUCCGAUCAAGAACUCUCAGUCAUCGUCGCUGCCCUAACCAACGUAGUCUCCGGUUCCACCUCCACCGUCGGCUUAGAUCGAAUAGUUCAACCGGUGAACAUAGAAACCUGUCGGGAAUGCAACAUAGCAGGAUGUUUAGGAUGCAAUUUCUUCCCUGAAGAGAAAAAACAAAAACAAAAACAAAAACAAAAGAGAGCUAAGAAUAAUAAGUACAGAGGAGUGAGGCAGAGACCAUGGGGAAAAUGGGCUGCUGAGAUUCGUGACCCGAGACGUGCGGUUCGUGUUUGGCUUGGAACCUUUACCACGGCGGAGGAAGCUGCUAGAGCUUACGACAAUGCCGCUAUCGAGUUCCGCGGGCCGAGAGCCAAGCUUAAUUUUCCACUUGUUGAUGAAUCUCUUAAGCGUACUGUUGAGGAUCCAGAAUUGGUUGUUCAUGUAAAGGAUGAAGAAAUGCAAAUUGAGACAACGAUGGGAUUUGGGAAUAAUACGACUGAAUGUGAUUUUUGGGAUAGUAUUGGGGAAGAAGCUGAUUUUCAACAACUUAUGAGGUUUAUGGAUUCUUCUCAUUCUAGAACAGGAAACACUUUUAAUUAGUUCCUCAAUUCAACAACAACAGAACAGUUAUUAGUUGUAGAAUUAGUUUAAGCGUAUUCAUUAGCUUUGCUGUGCAAUAUUGUGCAUUAAUGUUUGAUUUUGUAGAGGAAUCUGCUCUUUUUUUGGCGAAGAAAAUGACAUUUUCAGACUUAACAAAGUUAUUAUCAAUGAUAGAGUUAGCAUAAAUUUUACAAGAGGCUGGUUAAUGAAUGUCCGAUCAAUUAAAAGUCUUGCACGGUAUAACUUUUUCAAUAAUUUUACAAACAUACUCUCAUAAAAAAUUGUGAAACAUUAAAUACACCAAACUAAUACUAUUAAAAGGAUAAACAUUAAACGAGAGGUAGAAAAGUCUUUUAAACAAUAACUACACAUUAAAAAUUGUGACAUUUUCUUAUAAAUAGGACCAUUUUUUUUUCAAAAAUUUUUUUUCCUAUGUUAAGGACCGGAGGGAGUAUUUUGACGAACUUAAUUUUGAUUAAAAGUGAAUAGAUUUGUGUUUUGUUACAUAAACCUAGAAGUGAUUCUUAUAAGUCAUGUUAUUCGGAUAGUUUGAAUGUGAAUUGAUUUGCGAAACCUAAAAGCGAUUCUUAUAAAGUCAUGUUAUUCGAAUAGUUUGAAUCAAAAUUGAUUUUGAAUGCAUAAUUACAGAAAUAAACAUUAAUAGUAUUAAUAUCUACUUAAAAUUAGAUUUUACUUCUCUUUAUAUAAUAUCGUCUUAUGAAACACACUAACAGCUUACAAAGUGGAAUAUCAAUUGAAACAGUAACAAAGUCACCAUCAUGAGAAGAAUGUUACAACCCUUUCAGCUAAAAAGAGGUAAAUCAAAUUUAAGUUAGUAGACAUUGUUGGAACACAAGGAGUGUUAAGGUGUGAAUUUAAAAAAAUUCCCAUAUCAGCUUUUUCAAUUAGUGCUCAUUUAUGAUGCGAGAUCAAGUCAUUGAUUUUCUAACGGUCAAUUAAUCAUAGCCAUUAGAUUUGUAACUUAUCUUUGGCUCUUCACCUAUAAAUUGAGCUCCUCUCCCUCACUUCUACUCAUCCCAAAAAGUUCUUUUGAGUUGUCAAAGAACUUUUCUCUCUUCUCCCUCCUUUAGCUUGUGUUGACAAGCUAUUCUUUUCUUCUCCCUCUUUUUUUUUUUUUUUUUUUUUUUUUCUGUCCCUUCGGAUUUAAAGUCUUACGGCCAUAGUCCCUUCGGUUUAUAAUGUCCCUUCGGAAUUAAGAAUGGUCUUAAGAACAUAGUCCAUUCGGUAAAUUUUGUCGCUUCGAAAAUAAGAGUAUUCUUAAGAUCAAAGUCCCUUUCGAGAUAAAGUGUUCCUUCGGAAAAUAAGAAUGAUCUUAAGAAUAUAAUUCCUAUUUAUGUUUUAUGCCCUUUGAGAGGUUAGAGGUUAGAGUGGUGGAAACAUCAUAUUAGAGUGGUCCUAAUACCAUAUAAGAGUGGUCUCAGUACCAUAAUAAAGUGGUAUCUAUACCAUAUUGGAGUGGUCUUAGCAAUAUUUGAAGGUGUAUUUCUAGAACAGAUCUUAUAGUGCAAUAGGACUCUGAUACAGUUGUAGCUGGGCUGUUUUAUCCUGGGGACGUCGUGGUCGAUGGUCUGCUUGCACAAUUUUGGACAGUGUCACGAAACGUCUUAAAGAGAGUGACCUAGUCCGCGACUCAGCCUAGUAAUCUCUUCGGUGACAGAAAAUAUUUUUAACUAAUUUUGACUAUUGUUCCAACACAUGACAUAUAAAAACUGCAAAAUUUUGAAGAUACAUCCGUUCAUUUUUAGUUUUGUAAAGAAUAAUAAGUCAGAAAAAUAACUAGCACUAAAGCGCCACUUGAAAUGCUUUGUCGGCGCAAAAUGCUACAAUGAUUGGACCAACCAAAUCACCAGCAGCGCAUCCUGAAAAGAAGAACAAAGUUUUGCUUUAGGAAGUUGAAAUGAAUUAAAAUCAGGCUAACACAAUUCAAGCACAAAGAUUGAAGCAGUAAUUUUCUGUAAGUGUUGUUUAUGAUCUUACCAAUCCACUGGCCAAGUGAUGGACGAACAAGGGUAGCACCGAUCCCUGCCCCUAUGGAGGCAAAAACUAAAGAUGAACCACACCUUAUUGAAGUAAGGGCAACCUUCUGUCCAAGAAGUUGAACUUGCUUGGUAGUAUCUUGUUUGGUUGUAUCGACAUUACUGUCUUCAUCAUUGGCAUUGAAAAUGGAUCUAAAGAAUCGAUACAGUUCCAUGCCUACUUGAACAACCCAUGAUGCUGCAACUCCUAGCAUGUGUCCUGUGCAUAAUGAACAUAAAGUUAGCACUAAAUAGUUGAUAUCAAAUGCUCUAUGCACAGAUUAUUCAAAGAAAUCUUUUACCUCUGAAUGUUGUUCUGCCCACAGAAAAGAAGUAAACAUAAGAAGGCAUAUUCCUUGCAGCCUUGCGAGUAGCUGAUCUCGGAACAUCUGUUCAAAACAACCAUGAACGAUGAGUGCAUGUAAAAUCUCUCGAUAGCAUACAAAACAAAAGUUAAAAAACAUCACCCUCGUUUAUAAAAUUUUAAUAUAUUAAACUUUGACUGCUUUAGGUGUAUGCAAGAGCAUCUAAUCUCUAAAAUAUAGAUGAAAUCGUUAACAGAUUCCGAGAACAUACCUUUAAGAAGUUUCCAAGCCAUUCGCUCUGAAACAUAAUGGACAGCAAUUCUUUCUAAUAUUCUUCUAGUGGUCACAACACUUGUCUGUCAUAACAUUGAACAAACAUAUAUGAAUAGAAUGAAAGAGCUAAGUGACACCGUAGUACCAUUUUUGAAUUACCAAGUCAACAGAAAAGAGACCAUCAGGAAUAUAGAAAAGGCGAGACUGAUGAAAAUUAAGUGUGUUAAUUCAACGUUUAACUUAUUCCAAUUCAAUUUCAUGUUACUUCUUUUGUAAUUUAUCACCCUCUUAAACACCUCUUUCAUGAUAUUCUAUUCCUUCUGGUAUAUGAAAAAACUAAUUGCUUGAAAUUUGGAGACAGAGUUGGAAAAGCAUUUCAAAAUUUGUAUGCAAACAUCCCUGCAUAUAACUCGGAAGAGAUAAAGAUUAACCUAAAAAUGUAUCCCGAGUUUCCUUGUCAAGUGAAGGGGGAAAGAUGCAAGACAAAUGGGAUUAAUCGAAGCUUAAUGAGGCAAUGAUGCCUGUUUGAACUAUUAUAGAGCAAUGUGGUUUACUCUGUUAAAGACAUAGUAAAGCACUGUAUUACUUUAUGUAAAUAUGAAAAAUAAAGCAAAGAAGGUAGGAAAGUGCAGGCAGAAGCAUAAUUUGAUGGGCUGAUGACAAGGAACAAACAGUUAUGUGAAGAUCAUCUGAGUAACAAGGGAACAAUCAAGAUAAAAGAUGUUGAGCCAGAGGAGAAAACAGGCCAUGCAGUACCAGAAAGGAAACUUUAGGUCUCUAAGGCCAUUUAUUGAGCCUCAAGGCAUCUCAAAAGUUUAUGGACCACUAUCAACCUUAGCUUCAUUACUACACCGCUGUUUAGACUCGAAAAGAAAAAUCAAUCGAGUCAAAUAAGUUUAAAAAAUUGGAAAAAAAAAAAAUUGAUUGAAGAGAGCUCUAUAAACAGCUGAGUGGAGCUCUUGUAAUACUUAGACUUUCAUUUUUUAGUUGCUUCCAUAUAUAUACUCCUUAAAAUUAUAAAACCAAGAUUCAAAAUAAAUGAGAUGUAAUGAAACAAGACAAGUUUUCUCUAGCUCCAUAAAGAUAUUGGGCUCAAUUAGGAUGAACUACUCUAAUACCAAAAUGUGACAUCCACACUAAUUGGUUAACCUUUAUCAAGUUAACUUAGUAAAUUUCAACUUACUACUACUGUUUGUUAAGUUUUUACUCAUUUCAUUUCUCAAAUGGCAUUCUUCCUUGAGAGCUUUUACGGAAAAUAGUUGGCUGAGCUUCUCCUUAAAAGGAGAAGAUAAGCUAAACAACGAUUGGACAAACAUACACACCAUACACAUAGUUAGAGAUUCAUGGAAUGUUAACCUACAUAAGUAUGAAUUAAAAAGUAGGUAAGUAUAGAGAAAAUUGGAAGCUUCUACUAUUAACAACAGUAAAAGCCGUCCAACUCAUUAAUAUGUUUAUUUGUCUAUGACAAAGAUAAUUUACUUAGUGAAGAGGUUUUGCACGAUACAAGCUACAUGUAGCAGCUCAAAACUAUUGUUAUUGAUAGUAAACGACAAAUCACGUUCUUUGGGCUAGAUACCGAGUUUUCAAAACAAAAAAAAUGACAAGUCACAUAGAGCAAUUUCAGAAAUUGUGAAUAAUGCAAGAAAUAAGCCUAACUAAAUGUUAAAACAAGAAUCAGAAGAAAAAAUCUCACCUCACGUAUGAUUUGCUUCACAGACUUUUUGAAGGGAACAACCAGAUCAACACGGUGUUCUGGCUGUUCCUCCUCAAAUAAGUCAUCAAGAUCUUCUAUUUCUGCACGCGGCUCCAAAAGAGGCAAAUAGUGCAUCAGGAAUGACCUUAUUGAAGUCAUUGCAAGUGACCUCAACUCAAAAGCAGAGAAUAGAGGUUUAGGUUGGACAUUGUACGUUUUUGUACUAAAUCUUUCAGCAUCAUAAUUGUAAAUCCUUUCAGAAGCACUUUGUAUAGUAGAAAUAAGAUCUUCAGAUACUGUGGCGCCAGCAUCACAAUAUGCAACUGGUAUCCUGAAAUUAGAGAGGUGUGAUUAAACCAAAGAUGUCAUGAACCAAAGUAAGGCAUAUAUGUCCAAAAUACAAUGAAAAAUUAUACUCAACAACUUUAAAACCCUAUCUUUUACACUUCCGAUAUUUCCAAAAUACAGAACAUAACCCUAACCCCCUUGAAUAUUUUGAAGUAUUUAAAAGUUCUAGAAUUGUUAAAAUAUAGUAAAAUUGAUAACAGGAAUGUCAUAUGCCAUAAUUCAGAUUAUUUUCUUCACUAAAAGUACAACAACUAUUUCUCUACUUUCUCCUAUAUACACAAAGAAUCAUGGUCUAUUCAACCUUUUUUUCCUUGCAUGUCAUCUACAUAUCACACAAUCAUUUCCAUCAAAUCUCAAUGCAAAUUGGUAAGAUUCAUGUAUUACGAGGACAACAAUCAUUCAUGUAAGUUUGUAAACCGAUCAACGGGGGAAUUAAUAGUAUCUCCGAAAAUACUAGUUAUUAGUAAUCAACAAAAUAACUGUUCAUUCAGUUAUACAAACCAAGCAAAACCCUACCACUCCCAUGACCCCAUAACCUAUAUCUCAUUCUCACACUAUCAUAUCGUUAUCAAUUCAAUCCCUUAUCCCCCUUUCCUAGCAAGCAAUCACAGGUCACUACAGAUAAACUUCUCAAACUACAAUGCAAUAGACAUUAUAACACCAUUCCUCAAAUCUCAGUAUUUCAACUAUUUCAAAACUAAACCUAAUUUAACCACACCCCAAAAAUCAUGUAUCCCACUAGCAUCUAGCAGGAUUGUCAAAUUGCAGCUAUAGUAGUGUAAUAGACGUAACCAAAUUAGAACAAAUUAUUAUUAUUCUGUAAUACCCUUACUAAGUUAGUGGUACUAUAUCAACUAAACUUAGCAGAAUUUGAACAAACAACCAUUUCCUGUGCAAUCUUCGAUUGACAAGUAGCACCCUAUGAAGCAAUGACAUAGAGAUGGACACACGACGCAACACUAACAUGUCGCCAUUGGUAAUAGUUAGAGAAAACGACAUAAUAUACAAUGUAAUCACAUAUGUCAUGUCAUGCAGGUAUGGGACACUAACAAGUGUCGGCGCACUUUUGAUCAGAAGGAUCGGCGCUAUAGUGGCAGCACCGGCCCUUCUGAUUGAAAGUGUGUGUGAUGUCUGACCCUGACACAUGUGAUUAGUAGUGCUUCAUAGUCUACAACAACCACCCAUCAUAAAAAAAAACCCUAAAAUCUGAAUGAAUAUUAACCCACAUCAUAGCCAUACCCAAUUACCCAAAAUCAUCAAAACACCAAAUCAACUAAACUUAAAAACAUACUUUUUUCCACCACCCUUAUAAAAAUAACCAAAACCCAUCUCAAAAACAAUAUCAAAAUUAAAUUUUUAACAUCCAAAUAAAAAGGGUAAUGUUCCACAUAAAAACAUACCCAAAGAAAGCCCUUGAAGCAAAAGUGGUACCAGCAGCAAAAGAAGCAGCUGCAGCUACAGCAGCAGAAGAGGAAGCAGAAGAUUGAAAAGCAGAAUUAUGAUUCUUCCUCCAUAGAUCUACAAGUAUAGCUAUUCCCGCCAUUGUUUCUUGUGUUGUUCUUUAACUUUCAACUUAAAAGUCGCAAAACAAAACAAGGCUUUUAAGGUUUAAGGUUAAAUUAUCGUAUUAGUCGUUCAUCGUUGUUGAAUUUGAAACGGAGGCAAUAAGGUUUCUGUUGUAAUAACGCUUAGAUAGAUUGAUGAUCAGUGUUUUUUACACUUCAGUAGAACUGAGCUAAGUGAUAAUAAAUAGGGUUAACAAAAGUUUUUCCUUCAAAAAAAAAAAGGUUAAUAAAAGUUGUUUUAAUAUGAUAUGAUGAAAACAUAUUUUUCUUUUUUUUUUUAGGGAUGAAAACAUAUUUUUCUUGAUGAGAAAGUUAAUAUAACUUUAUUCACAGAAGCUAUAUUUUUAUCAAAUCUUAAUGGUCUUAUUUUAUUUUAUUUUUGGAAUCUAUACUAUAUCUCAUGGUAGUCAAAACCGAACCGGACCGGCCGGUUCAACCGGUUGAACCGUGAACCGGUAUUGUUUCCGGUCCGAUUGACCUUAAAAACCGUUGUUGAAUUGAACCGGGAAGUGAACCGGAAAACCGGCAAUCAAACCGGGAACCGGCGGUUUUCCCGGUUUCAGAGGUCCGACCGUGUGUUAGUUUUUUCCUUGAGAAAUAAGAGGGCUGAAAUCUGUAGUUCGACAAUAGGGUCGUUCUUUUCUUCUUUCUGUUUGUUUAGCAAUAGCAGGAAAAAUUGAAAUAGAAACUUGUCAAAGCUUCUUCCUUCACUAUCUGUUUAAUUGAUGCAGUAAGUGCAUGGUUAUUGAAGGGGUGAGAGGCAAAGAAGCGAUGGAACACAUGUGAGAGAAGUGGGCUGUGGCGGCGGGAUUGGAGAAGAAAGAAGAUUGUGCGCUCAAUGAAAAUAGAAGUAGGUCAUUAGGGUUAAUGUAUUUGAAUGAAAGUUUUGGGCCUAGCCGAUUAUUAACACUACUCUUGGUUUGUUUUAGACUCAUUUACUUGAGAAAUUUAUUGCAUUUAUGAUCAUUUAUAUACAAUUAUCAUUAAUAAAAGAUUAUUAUAUCAUUUUAAAUUAUAACAAGUAUGAUGAGGAAUAAGUAAUUUUUUUAAAACUAAUUUAUAGUAAAAUAUGAACAUUGUAUAAUUUUUUGUGUAUUAUUUCGUAUUUAAAAAUAAAAAAUAUAUAUUUCACUAUUACCGGUCCAACCCCGGUUGAACCUCGGUCCGAUCUUUGAACCUCGAACCCCUGAGUAUACCGGUUUGACACCCGAUCCGGUUUUGAUUACCUUGCUAUAUCUAUGUUAUAUAUAAAAAACUAUCCCUUUCAACACACUUUUGGGUAGGAAUUUUCUUUUCAAAAAUAUCCUUAAUUUUAAAUACAAAUAGUCAAUUAUAAAAUAACACGUAAAUUAAUAAUAAUGUCAUUAAUCGUCACUGUUAAUCUUCUCUUAACACCGUUAAUCAGAUCAAAGUAACAAAAAGUUUAAAAAUUAUAUUUGCAUUCUUUAUGUCUCUUCUCAUGAAUUCAAAUCGAUCCAGAAUUCAUCUUAGUACCCUCUGAUCACAUUUCAUCACCUCUAAACAAUUAGAAAGUUCCAAGGCUCAAGAACUUGAUUAAUACUUCUCAAGCAACAAUGAAUGGAAUAUCUUUAAGGUCCACUUCAUGAAUUGAGUAUCUUUUUGUUUUAUCCUUCGAGCAAUUUACUUUCCGCCAACAUUACAAUUCAAGCUUUGUUUUUACUUUUUUUUGUUAGAAGAAUGAAUGAAUCAGAAUUUGAGAAAAUCAAAAGUGAACAAUAAUCACUUAUGUAACAAAAAAAAAUCCAAAGUUUAUGUUUUUUCCUGCUUUAUUUCUCACGAGUCUAUGAGUUUUUUUAAUUUUUUUUAAACAAAAAUAAUAGCCGAUGAGGAUUAGACUAUAAAUUCUCUAAAAAAAUAUUAGUAAUAAAAGUGGGCAAAAAAUAUUGUUAAAGAUUGAAUUUUAAAUCCUCAAAAAAAAAAUUAGUAACAAACAUGAGCAAAAAAUAAUGUUAAAGAUUAGAUUUUAAAUCAUCUAAUAAAAGAUUAGUAACAAACAUGAGCAAAAAAAAAUUAGUAACAAACAUGAGCAAAAAAUAAUGUUAAAAAUUGGACUUUAAAUCCUCUGAUAAAAAUAUUAGUAACAAACGUGAACAAAAUAUUAGCAUUCAAAAUCUUUUAGAAAAAGAUUUGUUAGCACUAUAUUAAAUGGACUAUAAAUCCUCUAAAAAAUUUAGUAACAAACGUGACCAAAAAUUAUUAUUAAAGAUUAAACUUUAAAUCCUCUAAAAAAAGAUUAGUAACAAACAUGAACAAAAUAUUACGAUUCAAAAUCUUUUAAAAAAAGAUUUGAUAUCACUAUAUUAAAUGGACUAUAAAUCUUCUAAGAAAAGAUUAUCAAACAAUAUCGUGGGACUAAGCUUGAUUAAUAUGUUAUUGAGGGAUUUAAACGAGCUCUUGAAGCAACAUGGUAAAGAUAUCACAGAUUAUGAUCUUCCAUAAUUACCAACAGAAAUAAAUGAAGAUAAUCCAGUUCCAAGGGGUUAUUCAAGAGGAGUUAUCAGUCCAAAUUCCCAACGAAGACAUUGAAUCUAUUCAGAUGUUAAAUCAUGACCAAAUGGUUGCUUUUAAUACCAUUAUGCAUGCCAUUGAUCAUAAUCAUAAACAUAGUCAAGUAUUUUUUGUUGAUGGUCCAGACGGAACAGGUAAAACAUUCCUUUAUCGAGCAUUAAUGGCAACUUUGAGAAAUAGAGGAAAAAUUGGCUUAGCAACCGCGUCAUCUGGUAUAACUGCAACAUUAUUAUCGGGUGGUAUAACUGCACACUCCCGAUUUAAUUUACCUUAUGAUGUACAACCAAAUUCCUUCUGCGAUAUAAAAAAGCAAAAAGAUCUUGCAAAGCUUUUUAGAGUAGCAACUGCCAUAAUCUGGGAUGAAGCCCCAAUGACAAACAAAUACUGUUUAGAAGCAUUAGAUCGAUCACUAAGAGAUAUUUUAGAUUGUGAUGCUCUAUUUGGUGGAAAAGUUAUGAUCAUGGGUGGAGAUUUUCGUCAAGUACUUCCACUUAUUCAAAAAGGUAGUAAGGCACAACUGAUAUCUGCAUGUAUUAUUAGGUCUAAUUUAUGGGCUAAUAUCAAGGUCCUACAUUUAGUACAAAAUAUGCGAUCAAUGAAUGAUCCUGAAUUUGCACAAUUUCUUAUGCGAAUUGGUGACAGUGUUGAACCUACCAAACUCAAUGCUAUGGUGAGGAUACCUCAUCAAAUUGCAUUACCAUGGGAAGGAGAACAGUCAAUACAAACUCUUAUUGAUCAUAUUUUUCCACAAUUAAAUUUGCAUGGAUGGGAUGCAUCGUAUAUGGUCGAAAGAGCCAUAAUUACACUUACAAAUGAUGAUGUGCAAAAAUUGAAUGACAUAAUUAUCAAUCAGUUUUCAGGAGAAGAACAUAAUUUAUUGUCAUUUGACGAGGUUGAAGGGGAUACUCAUAACUUAUAUCAACGGGAAUUCUUAAACUCAAUUGCUCAAGGAAGUAUCCCACCACAUAUUUUAAAGGUAAAAAAAGGUGCACCUUUGAUGUUGUUGCGAAACAUAGACCCUAGAUAUGGGCUCUGUAAUGGGACACGAUUAUUAUGUCGUGGUUUAUUUAAGAAUAUGUUGGAUGUGAAAAUCCUAACAGGAAGCAAUGCUGGAAAAAGAGCAUUCCUGCCCAAAAUUAAAUUAAAAACAAAUGCGAGUUCAUGACUUCCCAUUUUGCUUAGUAGAAAACAAUUUUCCGUUAAACUAAGUUUUGCUAUUACCAUAAAUAAGUCACAAGGGCGGACCAUUCCCAAUGUCAGGAUCUAUCUUCCACGACAUGUUUUCAGCCAUGGUCAAUGAUAUGUAGCUUUAUCAAGAGGAGUUUCUCAAAAUUCAACAAAAGUUCUCAUUAAAGAAGGGAAAGUAGAAGGAGAAGAUGGAGACUUUACGAAAAAUGUAGUUUCUAAAUAUAUUCUUUUAUCACAAUCAUAGCAAAUGUUUCGUAUACAUAACAUGUCAUUUGUACAAUUAUUUACGAUGUUUCUUUUACACAACACACACAUUUAUGUUAUGAUGUUACUAAUUACUAUUAGAAUAAACAAUAAAUGGUCAUUAUUUUACCUUAAUUUUAUAUGCAGGCAAACUAAAAUAUGUUGAGUUCAAAAAUAAUUUUUUAUAUGCCUUGACAAUAUUUUGUUCAUAAAUCAAUACAUCAAUAAUUUUCAUAAUAUUUAAAAAUUUAAAAUUUUCAAUAAAAAUUAUACAAAGAAACAUAAUAAAAUAAUCAAAUGCGUUAGCGCAAUAGAAAGAGCGGACAAACGGGCACGAUAGUGCCAGUCUUUCCGCUAGUGAAUAUAAUGGUCUUGAUUAAAAAUUACAUCAUAUAAGUUCACACUCUCACAAAAAAAUUCUUCCUUUUUUUUUCUUCAUUUCAUCGUGUUUAUGUUAUUUUUUAUUUUGGUUUUUUUGUUGUUAUUUUUUUUUAACUCUGUUUUUAUAUUUUCUACAUUAUUUACGGAAUCAAAAUGGUAUCUCUACUUGAAAUAAUGAACAAGAUUUUUCUAUUUUUGAAGUGUUUCUUCUUAAGCCUUGAAAUGUUUCCUCUUGAGCUUGUGAUACACGAGUGUGCGACCCGUGCACGGGUAAAUUUAUCUUUCCCUAACACAUGACAUAACAACAGACGAUUGUAUCCCAAUGUUUAACAAUGCGUGUAUCGACAACAUAUUCGUACCUCAAUUUUCGGAUGGUGCAUGUUCCAACAAAUUAACCAUUCUAAACCGCAUCGUUGAUCACCUAAUUUAACAUCAAAUAAUCCUCUGAUGGUUUGUAUAUUGGCUAAAUAUGUUUUUUCAAAGCUAAUUGUUGAUCCAGAGUUUAUGGUUCAAAAAUAAAAUUGUUUUAUUUUUUUAUAAUCAACCAAAUACAUUUUUUUGUUUCAAGGCAAUAACCAUUGAAAUUAAUCUUAUAAGACAAAUGGAACUAGAUAGUAAAAGUUCCACCAUAAUAAACUAUGGCGAAUAACAUUUUUAUGUAAAGUAAUCACCUCUGAAGCAUGGGUACUCCAUUUUUCUAAACAUAUCCGUACCGAGUAUUGUGCGGGUACUGGUACACGUAUUGUACGCCUACUGUACGCACCCAUGAAGCACCAGUUUUUUUAUUUUUUUUUAAUGGUUGGGUACGGACGCGGUACUGAUUGGGUACGUAUAUCCUAUUUUUUUGGAGAAAAUGGAGCAAUUAUAUUUUUUAUUUUUUUUAUAAAAAUCAAACUUAAACUGCACGCACAUCCUCUUUUUUUUUUGGAGAAAACGAGCCCUUUUAUGAGAAUUAAUAGCAUUAUAGUUUUUUUUUCAGCAUCCAAAGAAGAUUCUGGAGCCUGAGCUUGGUUGUUCUUAGUGGGAAGAACAUUCACAUUAGUAGCAAGAGGAACAGAAGUGUUGUUACCAAUGAGGACGCCAUGAAUAAGAAGGACUGGAAAAUUAAGUUGGUGGUGAACUGAUUGAGAAUAAUCCUUUAGUUUUCUUCUGUUUUUCUUUUAACGGUAGGUUAACGACGUCUUAGCAGAGGGAGGUUUAUGUUUUUUUUUUUUUUUUGUAAAAUAGAGGAGGUAUUUGUGACGUAAGAGCAUACCUCAAGCAAGGUUAUUGUAUUUUUCCCUAUAAACUAUGAACCUUAAGAUUGUAAGAUUGUUCAAAGCUACGUCAAAUUCUCAUUGAUUUGAAAGGCGGACUUUGGGAUGGCAAUGAGUACCCAAUAGAUAAGGUACUAUAGUACCCAUCCCCAUAUUUUCAUUUGUAAAAAAUGUCCGUAUCCGAGCCCGUAUCUUCGUGGAUAACAAUUUAGUGUCCUUCCCCAUACCCUAUGGGCACUUAAGUGCCCAUACCUGCACCCAUUACCCGCACUUUCUCUAUGAAAAGACAAUAAAAAACAUCACAAUUGAAUAAAACUAUGACCCAAAAUUAUUUAAAUCAACUAAUAAAAUAAUACGAAUCGUAGUAUUUAUCCAAAUAAAAAAACAUCCAAAAUAUUCCUCAAAAAUUAAAAUAAAAACAUUCAAAUAAUCGUAGUAUUUAGGUUUAAACUUAAAUAGCUUAGAUUUUAGGUUUAGGUUUAGACUUAAAUAGCUAAAUAAAUUAAAUAAUUGUACACCAAAAAUAAAUAAAGUAUUUAUUAUAUUAUAUAAAUAUGUACAUGCGGGUUGCGGGGCUGGGUAGUAUAGUACCCUUACCCGUGUUCAUACCCAUUAAAAUUUGCGGGUAAUUACUCUACCCGUGUCCAUGUCCAUAAAAGCGGGUUUUACCCUACCCAUUGUGAAUAUUUUUUGCGGGUAUCCAUCGAGUCUAGGUCCAAUUGCCAUUCCUAAAGGCGGUUGAUCCUCACAACCAAAUGUUGAAAUCGUGUUUAUUGUGUUUAUUGCAAUCACAAUUGCCUAAAUGAUGGAGUAUUUAUGUUUAAGAUUCCAAAUUUCCAAUCAGUGAGAUUCGCUACAGAGGAGAAUAGCGAGUUAUUUGUCUGGAGACAUAAGACAAGAAGAAUCAAAACCCCACCCAUCACCUGAAGGACGUUGAUGUAUAAAGUGUGGAAUCUGGUGUGGAGCACAUUUCUAGAGUGUAACCAACAAUAACAACAAUGGGGAAUAAUACCUUAAAAAAAAAAAAAAAAAACAAUGGGGAAUAAUAAUGACAGAGUUUUUAAUGGUCUUGAAACUCUUUGCACAUGAAGCAUAAUUUUUUUUUGCAAAUGUUGAACUUUCGAGAAAGAUUUGUAAAAGCCUUUUCAAUAUUAAGAGCAAAAAAUGUUUUUUUUUUCCAUUAGGGCACACUCAUUCGUAAAACGAAAAUAGUUCGUUCAAAAAUAUUAAUUCAAAAUAAAACAAAAAUAGUCAAAUCAAAAACAUUGACUCAAAAUUUACAUAUAACAAAAGUUGUAAAUGAUAAGUGAUUGUUUUGGAUGCUAACGUGAUUGAGAUGUCAAAUCUACUAUAUGAUGUCUCUACAUUCUAAUUUCUGUUUAUAAAAUUUUCUAAUGUUAAGUGAUAAUUUUGUUUGUGGAUAAUUUGUUAUAGUUCUUCCAUAAAGACUCUUUAAACCUUAAUAAAUGUUCGACCUUUAUGAAAACCACAUAAUUAUGACAUUUGUUCUGACAUAGUUCCACGAAGUACCUUCACAAACAUAAAUUCUUUAGAUUGACUACUAGACUAAUCUUCCCUUGAGUGCUUAAGUCGCAAGUUAACACUCUUUUGUCCCUCUCCAAUAUUUUGUUAUGCUCAAACUAAACAAUGUGCCCACCCACAAGUUCAAAUAUAAUUAAAAUGAUACAGAGUUUUAGAAAUAAACAUUAAUUAACAGAUUAUAAAUUUGAUGUCAUGGAAGGUUUGAGGUUGAAACUCAACCAUCUUAAAACGAAAUUAUAAAUUGGAUGUUAAAAAUCAUUAAUCGGUCGAAAUCAAAAGAAAAAUGGCAAAAGUCCAAAACACAGUCUUUACACUGAAGAGUGAACUCUCCCUUCGCUUUCGUCCUCCUAUGGAAUUGGCCCCACCACAAGACAGUACAUGUCACACUUACGAAUCCUAUCUGGCAUUUUUCUGGACUUAAAUACAAAACCACACGUGAUUCAAAGACCAAAUGUGAACUGAACCGUGUGGGAACUGUGUACAUAGCUGGCUCUUACCUGCCACGUCACCUUCAAACCGUAUAUAUACCAACUUCUAACCUCUGACUUUCCAAAAACUUUCAAAGUAAAAUCUUCUAAACCUUAUACGACAAAACUGCAACCUGCGACUAUUACUAGUUUCCAAACAUGAACUACUACUCCCCCGCCGCUCUCACCUCCGAUCAAGAACUCUCCGCCAUCGUUGCUGCUUUAACCAACGUAGUCUCCGGCUCCACCUCCACCGCGUAUUCCAUACCUGAAUUUUCCCCCACGGAUUCCACUGUCGGAAGCAGCAGCAGCAGCUUAGAACGAAUAGUGCCGGCAGUGAACAUAGUUUCUUGCCGGGAAUGCAACAUAGCAGGAUGUUUAGGAUGCAAUUUCUUCCCUGAAGAGAAAAAACAAAAACAAAAACAAAAAAGAGCUAAGAAGAAGUACAGAGGAGUGAGGCAGAGGCCAUGGGGAAAAUGGGCUGCUGAGAUUCGUGACCCUAGACGUGCGGUCCGUGUUUGGCUUGGAACCUUUACCACGGCGGAGGAAGCUGCCAGAGCUUACGACAAUGCUGCUAUUGAGUUCCGUGGGCCAAGGGCCAAGCUCAAUUUUCCAGUCGUUGAUGAAUCGCUUAAGAACGUGGUGGAUCCAGA
rnacentral:lncRNA from 1 species